rnacentral:lncRNA from 1 species
AAGGAAGAGGGGCAUAUAGCAUAUUGUAUAUAUAUGUGUGAAAUUUUUGGGUACUUGUCAAGGGGGACUAUUUUUGGAAUGUAAAAAAAAUGAAAUGGAUGGUUUUAAAAGGGUCACCUUUUUACACGAGGAGUAUUUGCCGUUGUAUAUAUCCAUAUCAUCGUCCUAUGUACUUAACAAUAAGGUAACGUGGUAUCUCUGGUGGUUUC